GCUUUCAUUAAUCUUCCUUCAGCCUACCUUCCAUGCUUGCUUCUGACCGAGGAGGAGGAGGGGAUGUAUGUUAUAUGAAUACAGGAUAUACUUUACUUUGUUUCACAAGCAGUUCUCCGUGGAAAAAGUUACUGGAUUCCAGUGUUUAUGAAACUCGGUGCUUGAGAACUGAUCAACAUAGAUGGAUGACUAAUAAGUGAGGUUGAUAUUUGGAGAAGAAACACUAAACGCAGGCACCUAAGAAAACAAACAUUGACAAAACAUGGAACUUAUCAUUCCUGUAAUUUAAAAUAGACUAGAUUCUGCAACUGAUACUCUACAGAAUUUAUUCUCCUAUUUCAUAUGAGGAAUUUGAGUAGUGUCACCUAUCAGGUAGGUGACCUUAAUAUAAAUAAGUCCCUCAAACUCACUGACCCUCAGAAAAAUGGAGACACAUUGUCUCUAUUUGCAAGGUGGUUAGAAAGAUUAGCUGAUCCAGUAGAUAUUCU
rnacentral:lncRNA from 1 species